GGGCCUGUUGGGGGGGGGGGGAGGCUGAGCCAGCCCCGCCCCCACAGGGCCGCCCUCCGUGCUGGCAAGGACUCGGGAAGGUCAGCGUGGAGCAGGAAUGUAGGGAGAGACACCACCCCGCUGAGUCUGCACCGGAGCGCACUUCUGCGCAAGCGCAGCCCAUCCGCCCAAGUGCACUUACUGCGCAAGCGCCCUGGUGGGCAGAUCCGGACGGUUUCCCACUGCUCCAGUCUCAGGCGCGUGCCAGUUUGGCCCACAGAAGUCUGGAUUGUUCCACGGUGACCCGGGCCACGUGGGGACCUCCCUGUGCCUGCCAGAGGAUGCCAAGAGACAGGCUCGGGGGCCUUUGUGGGCAUGGAAGAAAGGACUCAGUGGAGUGCCCCCAGCUCCACGCGGGGCAAAGCCAAAGCAGACCCCACGGAUGGUCUCUGACGACCAGGGCGUCCCUGGAGCCUAACAGGCAUCCGCUGCUGCCCCCCGGGGCCGCCUCCAUGGCCAGCUGGAAAGGCGGUUCACCCGGUGGGGGCCCAGCCCCCGGACCGCCCUACACGGGCUCAGGCCUCUGCCAACGUCAGCGAGGGUCCCCACCUGUUGCCUGCUUCCCAGAGCCCCCCGGGGCCUGUUUCCGGCCGUGGACCCAGUGCCCUGUCUCUGGUCUGCUCCGGCCACGCCCCGCCUGUCCCUCGGGGUCUGUGAGCCCCUAAAAGGCUCCAGCAGCACCAAAUGAGAUUGUCGAAAGCCCAUUUAAAGCACAUGGUAAUUACUUCCAGGGGGUUUUAUAGCCCCGCAGAGUCGCGUAGCCACGCCCCGCCGUCCAGGAAGGCAGUAUUUCACCGUCAAGGACACGACCCUGGGUAUUUACAGACGGUAAUGAGACUGUCCACUGCUCAGUGUUGCCAUAAAUAAGCAGGGAAAGUGCUGAGUUUCACGCAAUUCUCCCCGAUUGCCUGGAAGGUGUCAUUAUUUUAAUAAAAAAACUAAUCAGCCAGCC